rnacentral:rRNA from 1 species
AUUGAACGCUGGCGGCAGGCCUAACACAUGCAAGUCGGCCGAGUGGCGGACGUGUGAGUAAUGUCUGGGAAACUGCCUGAUGGAGGGGGAUAACUACUGGAAACGGUAGCUAAUCCCGCAUACCAUCAGAUGUGCCCAGAGGGGAUUAGCUAGUUGGUGGGGUAACGGCUCCACAAGGCGACGAUCACUAGCUAGUCUGACAGGAGGACCAGCCACACUGGAACUGAGACACGGGCCAGACUGCUACGCGAGGCAGCAGUGGGGAAUAGUGCACAAUGGGCGCAAGCCUGAUGCAGCCAUGCCGGGGGUAUGAAGAAGGCCUUCGGGUUGUAAAGUACUUUCAGCGGGGAGGCGUUACCCGCAGAAGAAGCACCGGCUAACUCCGUGCCAGCAGCCGCGGUAAUUC